AGAUCAGUCCAAUGAGGGUGGUGUCAUCCGCAAACUUCGGGAGCUUGGCGGACUGGUGACUGGAGGACUGACACAUCGCUGGCAUUCGUGCGGCGGGUCUGGACUUUACGUGCACCGCGGAGAAGUGCUGAAUUCACAGCAUCCUCUCCGAUGCCGCUGUAGGGCCUUUGAGGUCACGGCCGAGGGAGCCGCGUACAGAAGAGCUGUAGCGAAGUACAAAAUGAAGUAAAUGGUUUAUUGAUUUCCACCCCCUCUGCCCACCUCCUCCCCCGGACACGAACAUAAUGGCAUGAGACGAGAUGUUAAUAAAGACUGAAGGUUUACUGAGAGGACACCCACACUGUCUGACACUUGCUGGGUGACGCACAGAAUGGUCCUCUACUCGUCAACAGGAAGGCUCGGCCCCAGAGAGGCAUCAAGAGCGCAGAGGAACGCGAGAAUAAGAUACUGUUUCUGAUCUUUUUCUAAGACUCAGACAUAAUCUAGGUGGACCCGGACAAGUAUUAUUAACGAGUUGCAUCAUCUGGAAAUUGAUCAGAGCCUUAGAGAAGAUUAUCAAAAGCAUUUGAGAGAGAAAGAGACAAUCUAUUGAUUCUCCGGGUCGGUUGCUUAGCUUUUCCACUGAAAUCUCAUUAAGGAUGAAGUUGGCUCUGAGCAGUGUUUACCAUCUUCCACAUAGAAUUUUUUUAAUUACGUCGAGCCGCCUGACUGCCAAAAUCGAUAGCUAAGAAUCCCAAACCACUGGGCGGCGAGAGGCAAUUCACUUUGGUUCGGGAACUGGAAAAACGAAGUGGAUGGACUGUGGCCAUCUGCGGCGAGUUCUCAGCAGUGUCCGCAAUUGUUUCUGCAUUCUCCUCCCAUGGCCUUGGAAAAAAAAUGAUAUGGAAGGCUGGUCAGUUAUUCUAGAUAUUUAUUUUUUUCCCCUUACGGAUAAAAGCAUCAUUAGCUCAAGGUCGGUCCACUUGCACUUCCCCCUGCAAUUUCAUUUUCUUCACAUGGGCUGUGCUCUUCACAGAAGGUGCUGUGUUAAAGGAGAGACAGCUCUCCUCCAGCCAGAGACCUUGCAAACAUGAUUAAAAGAUGACUUCAUUCCCGGUAAAUCUCCACCUGCGCUCUGUUCAUGCAAGACUCAUCAAGGCGGUCCGUGAACAAUGUCACUGUGGGAAACGUUGAUAUUUGCAUCUCAGUUGCAAAAAUCCACCAACAGAAAUGUUUUUAAUAAGGUGGAUUUCUAUGGAAACCAACGGUCUAUUCAAUAAUAAACCGAAAGACAAGUAAGACAAGUAACAUCAUGAUUCCAAAUGUAGCUACAUUAAUUCAGGUGUUAUCCUUGAUAUCAAACAAAUCCCCUAAAACAUACAGACGGUAAAAAUUCUGAGGCUGAAGUAAUAAAUAAUUAUUAAAAAUGUUCCUCUCUCCCAUUCUCCUCCAGCUGAGUCUUUAAGGGGCAUACAUCAUUUUAGGAAAAACUCAAUGUAUUCUACUGAAUCCAAUUGAAAUUGAAAUGUAAAACAACAGGAAUUGUCAUGCCACGCCCCAGACCCCGUGCCCCCGGUCCCAUGCCCCACACCCCAGGUCCCACGCCCCACACCCCACGCCUCUGGCCCCAUGCCCCACACCCCAGGUCCCAGGUCCCAUGCCCCACAACCCCACGCCCUACGCCCCACGCCCCACGACCCGUGCACCACGCCUCUGGUCCCACACCCCAGGUCCCAGGUCCCAUGCCCCACAGCCUCACGCCCUACGCC
ensembl:lncRNA